AACGGCGAGUGAAGCGGCAAGAGCUCAAAUUUGAAAUCUGGCCUCCCCCGGGGCCCGAGUUGUAAUUUGCAGAGGAUGUUUCGGGUGCGGCCGCCGUCUAAGUUCCUUGGAACAGGACGUCAGAGAGGGUGAGAAUCCCGUCUUGGGCGGGCGGUCCGCGCCCGUGUGAAGCUCCUUCGACGAGUCGAGUUGUUUGGGAAUGCAGCUCUAAGCGGGUGGUAAAUUUCAUCUAAAGCUAAAUAUUGGCCGGAGACCGAUAGCGCACAAGUAGAGUGAUCGAAAGGUUAAAAGCACCUUGAAAAGGGAGUUAAACAGCACGUGAAAUUGUUGAAAGGGAAGCGCUUGCGGCCAGACUCGGGGGCGGGGUUCAGCGGGUGCUCGUCGCCCGUGUAUUCCUCGUUUCCCGGGCCAGCAUCAGUUUCGACGGCCGGUCAAAGGCCCCCGGAAUGUGUCGUCUCUCGGGACGUCUUAUAGCCGGGGGUGCAAUGCGGCCCGUCGGGACUGAGGAACGCGCUCCGGCUCGGAUGCUGGCGUAAUGGCCGUAAGCGGCCCGUCUUGAAACACGGACCAAGGAGUCUAACAUCCACGCGAGUGUUCGGGUGUCAAACCCGUGCGCGCAGUGAAAGCGAACGGAGGUGGGAGCCCUAGGGCGCACCAUCGACCGAUCCUGAAGUCUUCGGAUGGAUUUGAGUAGGAGCGUGGCCGUUGGGACCCGAAAGAUGGUGAACUAUGCCUGAAUAGGGUGAAGCCAGAGGAAACUCUGGUGGAGGCUCGCAGCGGUUCUGACGUGCAAAUCGAUCGUCAAAUUU
rnacentral:rRNA from 1 species